CACUUUCGAACUCGUGCACGACAAGCCCAAGCCCAGCAAGUCUAAGCAGGCUGAGGAUGACGACGAGUUGGCACAGUUGCAGUCCUGGGCUACAUAAUGCGAUGCACGCAACUCAUGUAUUUGUGAUAUCUAUAGGUAUUGUAUAGCUGCUCGCUUUGUUGAAGAAUUUGUGGGGAUAAUGGAUCUAAAGCCCUUUUUUACUGAUAAAAUAAACGUCCGUUUUUUCUCAUUAUAAGUGAAUAUAAUGAAUAUUGAACUCGAAAAAAACACUGUAUUUCGGAUGGUACGUUAAACUGUAGGUCUCGGCUGUCAUUGAACAUCCUUGGCAGUCGUUACAGAUAGUCAGAAGCCAGUAAGUCUGACACCAGUCUAACCAAGGGGUAUUGGGUUGCCCGGGUAACUGGGUUGAGGAGGUCAGAUAGGGCAGUCGCUCCUUGUAAAGCACUGGUACUCAGCUACAUCCGGUUAGACUGGAAGCCGACCCCAACAUAGUUGGGAAAAAGGCUCGGAUGAUUAACGCGAAAAAAAACAUGAUCACAAUCAAUAUGUAGGAAUUCAUAGUAAACUGUUGUUUAGAGAAAAAUAGAUGUUUAUGUUAUCGGUCAAAAUGGCUGUAACUCAAGAAAAAAAUCGAAGAAAAAUAACUAAAGUAAGAAAAUCUCAUUCAAUGCAGUCAUCACAAUAUUAUAAGAAGUUUGAAGGUUUUAUCUUAGGCAAGGAGAAAGAUACUGCUGAACGUAGGAACGAACGCCAACAUACAUAUAUACGUAUACACAGAUACAUCAUAUAUUAAUAAAAAUGAAUCAAAAGUGAUCUUAUUACAUUUGUCAUAAAGUGCUAUAUUGCAUAAACUUCCAGAUUAGAUUACGCACUGAUAAGGCGAAGAGUUUUCAUGAUUUCUAAAUAUAGGGGUUAGAUUUUAUAUAAUUGUGUGUAUAACAACUAAGAUAUUUUUACCGUAGAAUCUGGAUAGAAGGUGCUAACUAACCUAUUGUUUCGAUCUAGACAUAUAAAAAGGUACAGUAAUUGUUAGCAACAACCCGAAAAAAUAUACAAAUCCAUUAUCCCCACAAAACUCGUACAAAAUAUUGUAUAAAUAUGUAUUUAAAGCAUGUCGACUAGAACUCGCUUUCGUAUUUCAAUAGUAAAGUAAAAAUAAAAUAAAAA